ACAGCCACAGCUCUGCUUCCCAUCAAGGGGCGGAGCAGCUGCGGCUCCCCUCUGGCCAGGGCUGGGGGUCUGAGUCAGCUGGAGUCAGGUAAGCAGAGGAGGAUGUGGGGCUUUCCCACCCGCAGCCUGGAAGCCCGUGUGUGCAGGGCAGGGCUGCCUCCCACGGCAGGGGCAGGCAGAGGCCUCUGCGCCAGGUACAGCCUAGGUACCGCCUACCCCCAUGGCUGACCCUGGGCCCCAAAUCCAGCGGGAGGCCUGGGAGCAUCUUCUCCGCCUGAGUCACCGGGCUGGGCCCAGGACCCCAGCCAAGGGCUUUGCCUCUGGGAAGAAAAGAGCUUUGGAGUCCAGCAAAACCUGGGAAGCAGGGGGAAGCUUCCCUAGCAGGUGCUAUUUGAGCAGAGGCCUGGAGGAGGGAGACUAGCAAUUAUUUGGUCUUCGAGGCAAGUUAGCACCACACAGAGACUCUUCUGGAUAUAAAGGAAAGACUGUAAAGAAUUUGCAGAGAGAAUAACUCUCGCUAUGUGACCCGAGGUGAUUUUAUGCUUUGCCUGUGCAGCCUAUAAAAUAAUCUUGUGUGGUCCCCAUGAUGCACAUCAACCAGGAGAUGCUGGAGAGUCUGAGACAGCGUGCUGGCAGCACUCUGCCGGGGGAAGGACACGGAGGUGUCCAGGCUCGGCUCCAAAAGCAGACAAGCCUGCACUGCGCUGGAGCAGGUGAGAAGUAGCUGGGUUCCACCGUGCCCUUUUCGUCUGUGUCCCUUGCCACCCAACACGAGCUCAGCACACAGUUGAUCUUCACUAACUAGUCACCCCUCCAAGCUUUUGCAAUGGUUGUUCCCUCUGCUAAAGAUACCCCCUUCUCCCACCUUGACCACCCGACUAACUCUUAAGCUCAGCUCCCAGGUGCCUCCUCCUCCUUCUUCUUGGUACAUGAGUGCCCCGCUUGGCAUUCGCUUAGGGGUGUCUAUACACACUAUUUCCUCUGCCUGGAGUAUCUUCUUCCAUGGGGCAGGGGUCAGUCAGCACCUUCUGUAUGCAAGGGACAGAAAGCCAGUCCCAACUGUUUUCAGCCAAAAAUGGGAAAGACAGUGGCUCACAUAACUAGAAAGUUGAAGGUGCCUAAUUUCAGGUACAGUGGGAUCCAGGAGUUCAAAGCCUGUCCAGCUCUGUGCUGCUUCCUGUCAGGCAGGCUUUUCCCUUGUUUUGUCCUCUUCUUCUCUAAGCGUUCACUUGCUCACUGUCCAUCCAAUGGAAAAUGGCAUCUCCUUCACAAAUCAUGGCCAACCCUGAAGUCCCAAGAUCAAGUUUCAUUGGGCAGGCUCAGUCAUGUGCCCAUCCCUGGACCAAUCACUAGAGCAAGACCCGGUCACAUGUCCACCCCUGGAGACAGAGGCCUCUGGGCACCCCCAGCCUCAUGGACUGAGAAAAGGGAAGAGGGGGUUCUUCAGUAGGAAGUCGAGGUGCUGUUACCUGAAAAUGGGAGAUAGAUGCUGACUUGUCCACACACCCGCACCUUCUCCCAGCAAACUCUAGCUCGUCUCUGCACAUUGUAUGACCUCAGGCCAACCCCUUCCCCUCUCUGGGUCUUAUGUUCCUCCUCCGGAAAAUGGGCAGGAGGCCGUUUGAAUUCCAACAUUCCAGAAUUCUGGGACAGCUUCCAGGACUGGAGUCAGCUCCCUAGAUCCCAGGAACGUUCCAGCACUUCUGGGGACGGAAGUGGAGCAUCAGCCAGAGCCCUCCCCGGCCCCCGGCCUGGGAACAUGUUUAGAAGAUGACAACUGGGCUCCCUUUGGCCGAAAUUCCACUCCCGUGGGGGCCUUGCCAAGGAAAAUAAGCCCAAGAACCAGGCAUUAAAGAGACAGCAUUCCUUCCAGGCAUUUUAAGCAGAAAGGAUCCAACACAGGGAAUUGAACACUCACAACAUUGCUAGAAGGGCUGGAGAGGCACCAGCACCACACAGCAGAACUGGACCUUCAGGAGAGCUGCCAGCCACUCAGGAUGGUGGGGAAUCAGGAGGCCACAGAGGAGCUGUAGACUUUGAGAACGUAUCACAGCACCAUCCAGCCAUCUGGAGAUGAGGAAGCCACCACCACCACCCCUACCUCUAGACUCCCCAAGAGUGGUAACCGGACGCCAAGGUUGCUGCAAGAAAAUCCAUCCCAUGACCAUGCUCACCAGCAGAAAGAGAGCCCAGGAAAAAACAAGGCGGCCCCCACUUCCUGACUCUCACAGGAAGGCAUCUGCCUGGCGGGACCUGCAGAGCGUUCAGAGCCCCUGCUGCAAAGAAGGCUGGGGAAUGCGGCGUGUAGCCUUCCAGUCUCUGCAGCCUCUUGCUAGAAAGAGAUAUUAAUAGGAAUGGAUGCUGAGGAUCAGAUGACCCUGAACAUGAGGUCUUAGGAUUCCCUAUCUCAGCCCCAACACCCUGUGCGAAUGGAAACCUCUGCUUACUUGUCUGUGUUCCCUGAUGGACUGCGGACACUUCAAAAGGCCAGGAUGAUGCCUUGGAUAUCUCGGGCUCAGCAGCAUCUUGCAUAGGCCCAGUGCAAGACAACAGUAGUCAUGCAAGAAGAAAAAGAAGAACUGACAUUUAUUGAGCAUUUACUAUGCACUGAGCACUGGGCUACAUGUUUUACAUACCUGUUGACAUAUUCACAACCCAAUAGGGUAGGCAUUAUUGCUGUCCCUAUUUAUACAUGAAGAAGAGAAGGUCUAUAGAGGUGAAGUAAGUUUCCCAAGGUCACCCAGCCAGUACAUAUCAGAGAUGAGAUUAAAAAUGCAAUCUGUCUGACUUCAAGCUCCAAACACUUGCCACUUAUGAGAGGCACCUUUAUCUUCUCCCAGGCAUCCAGAAAGGUCACAGCAAUGUUGUGCAAUGAAUGAAUGAAUACAUAAGUGUCUUCUCCUUUAGGAAACUACCUGUCCCCAUCUCAGCUGCCUUCCCUCCACUGGGCCUGGGUUCCUCUCCAAGAUCAGGGCUCAGAGAGUAAAAAUAAUACAUAAGACUGCACUGGGAUUCCUCACCUUGGGUCUGUAGGUGGCUCUUAGGCUCCAUGACCACCACUCCCAUAAAGUUGCUAACAUUUUGUGUCUAUAUGCAAUUUUCUGGAGAUUUGACUCAAAGUUUUCACUAAGCUUUCAAACUUCAAAAACUUGAUACUGCUGCAUCAGGGAGGAACACAGGAAUUUUCCUGCCUCCUGACCUCAGUUCCGAUCUUAUGACAUAGCAUGCAUUCACCUGUAUAUCCAUCCAACUUACCUAUCCAUCCAUUCAUUCUCUCAUCCACCAUCCAUGUACUCCUCCAUCCUAUUUCCCCAUCCACUCAUCCACCCAUUCAUCUAUUCAUCCACCAAUCAAUCUAACCAUCCAUCCAUCUUUCCAUCCAUCCAUCCACCUAUCCAUCCAUCUAUUCUCUUAUCCACCCUCCUACCCACCAAUCUAUUCAUUUAUCUACCCAUCCAUUCGCCUAUCCGUCCACCCACUCAUCCAUCCAUCUAUCCACCUACCCAUCCAUCUAUCCACCUACCCAUCCAUCUAUUCUAUUAUCCACCCUCCCACCCACCAAUCCAUUCAUUUUUCUACCUAUCCAUUCUCCUAUCCAUCCAUCCAUCCAUCCAUCCUACCCAUCCAUCUAUUCUAUUAUCCACCCUCCUACCCACCAAUCCAUUCAUUUAUCUACCUAUCCAUUCUCCUAUCCACCCACCCACCCAUCCAUUCAUCUAUCCAUUUACCCAUUCUUCUGUCCACUCACUCAUCCAUCCACCCACUCUUUCAUCUAUCCAUCCAACCAUUUGCCCAUCCAUACACCCACCCAUUCACUCAUGGAAUCACCAAUCCAUCUACCCAUUUAUCCCUUUAUCUGUUUAUUCAUCUAGCCAUCUAUUAAGUCAUCCAUCACUUUAUGUAUUAAUUCAUUCAUUUAAUUAUAUAUUUAUCUAUUCAUUCAUCCAUCAGUAAUUCACAGUAUUCAACAAUGAAAUCACCCGCUCCAUCCAUCACACAAUUUAAAAUCCAGCACUUGUUUAUUUAUUCAACCAUCCAUCAUCCAUCUCUCCAUUUAUCCACUAAUUUCUUCAUUCAUGUGUUCACUCAUCCAUUAAUUCAAUUGUUAAUUAUCUCAUUCAUUGAUUCAUCUAUUCUUUCAUUGAUCUAUUUCUUCAUCCAUUUUAUCCAUUCAUAAACAGUUCCCUUAUCUCCACACAUGUACCCAGCCAUUAAAUUAUCCAUUUGACUAUCCACCCAUCCAUCAAGUCAUCACUCAUCUUUUCACCCAUUAAAUGCUCCAUCCACCCAUUCUGUUCUCUAUACCAGAACCAAGAAGUGAAUCACGGCUGGCCCUGCCCUUGAGAAGCUCACAAUCAAGUGAUGGAAACAGACAGCUACAACCCAAGAUGGAAAAUAUUCAGAAGUCAAAGGGAGCUCCAGGCAGGUGCCUUCACAGAAGGGGACUCAGGUCCUUCUAGGGAUUCAGAGAAGGCUCCUUGGAGGAAGCAGCAUCCAAACAGGACUCAUGAAGUCAGAAAAACAGUGAACAAACUCCCUUAGAUAUCCCAGAGGGUAACUCACAGGACCUAACCACCUAGAUGCUCAUUGAGCUCUUUGGAGCAUCCAAGACUGAGAACACCUGUGGCAAAUGUUCACCCAGGAAUUCCCAAACCCAAUGGCUAAUGGAACACUUUCCCCCUUGUCACUCCUAUUAGUACCCCCAGAGACUCUGUGUCCCUCAGAUCUGUGUCCUCAAAAUGGAUAAAUGAUAAAAUAGAUUUGGGAAAUGCUAGUCUGGUCCAAACUUCUUGUUUCCACAAAGAAGAAAACAAAGUUCCACAAAACAUCUCUGACCUCAAAAAUUGUGUUCAUCUGUAGAUAAGAUGCAAUGCACAAUAUAUGCCCAAAGACUCC
rnacentral:lncRNA from 1 species